CAUCCCAAUUUUUCAGAAUGACAUGCCUGCUGUCUUGGUGAGGAAAUCUCUCUACACUUUAGUUGAUUUGAUUCCUUGUCUUAUUUUUAUACAGCCUAGGUUAAUAUUCAGAAGUCUAUGAGACCUGGAUAGUCUGCCAGUUAUUCCAGUUGAGCACCAGAAAGGCAGUGCAGCCACAGAAGUGCCCAGCAGGAUCAAGCCUGUGCUGGAAAAGCAGUUGGAGUUGGAUCACAGGGCCAAAACCACUACAAUACAUGUGACAAGAGGGAGUUUCCAGAAAAAGUACCUCUCCUCCACUGAACAAAUUGAUAUAAAACAAAUGAAGUUGUAGAUGGAAGAGAAAAUGAGAGCUUUUUAAUACAAG
rnacentral:lncRNA from 1 species